GCGCGUCCCGGCGGGGCUGAGGCAGCGCCCCGCGGGGAGUGCGCCCUCUGGCGAACGGGCGGAGGCACGGCCUGGCCUCAGGCAGGGUUCGAGCCCCCCAGAGGCUCCUCGCAGCUCCCGGCUGCUCCUCGACCCUUCCAGCGCCUCCCCGGUGGCCCAGCCCUGCAGCCUGGGAGCUCCUCCCUCGCCGAGCAGGAGGGUUGUGGAUGCAGAGCUGCCAGACCCCUGCAGCAAGGCGGAGGGCUCUCCCGUCCGAGCCCUGCGCCCUCCAGGGCACUGCUGAUCGCCACCAACGCCGUGUCCUACAGCCUGCUGCGGCAUCCCGCGGCACGUCCCUGCCGGCUGACCUCCGCCUCAGGCUCCCAGCGGCCGGAGCCCCCGGUGAAUGGGCCCUUCCUUCCCUCGGGCGCUGGGCGAGCAGGAGCCACCCUGCACCAGCCGAGCGUCACGGCCCUGACCACGCGGCCUGGCCUGGCCUGGCCGGUCGGGGCACUGGGCAGAGCUGCUCUGCUGCACCCAAGCCCUUCCCAACAAACCCAGAGAGGGUUUUCAACAGCUGCUUGCAGGUUCCAUCGCUGGGGCUGUUGCAGCCUGGCAGCAACAUCUUGGCUUCUGCCUGUGCUUGGGUCUUCCCACUGGAAGGAAAAUCAGCCAGGCAUCUUAGACAGCAGUGCCCAACAAGGGGAGCACCAGGAGGGCUAAGAAGCAGCCUUCACACCUCUCUGGACUUUCUUCAGCCUCUUCAACCCUCUUAGCAGGGAAUGUUUGCUCUAUGUUGGUCCAUGAGCCACCUCCAGAUGUAGCAAGGAGCAGUGGAGUUUGCUGUGGCCUCUCCUGCUGAGGUUUCACAUCCAUUUCCCUGCAUCCCAACCCCCUUCACUGGGGUUGGUUUUUUCUGUUUUGUUUCCAGAGGGAGCCCAGCCACUGCUUUUCACCAAUGUGCUCAUUUAUGAACAGCAGUGUGAAAUACUGCAGUACUUCAAUACUUGCCUUUCUCCAGCAGCUUCCUUCUGGAAGAAAAUACUGCAGUUUGGUUACGUGUCUCGCCUGGAGCCACGCAGUGAAUCACUGGCAAGAAGAGGAACAGAACUCAAAAGCCCUGCAGCUGCCAGCUCUGGUCAUCAGACACCUCUCCUUCCUCCAGCCUUUAAGUUCUUUAAAUCUGCACACAUUUAGUACAUAACGCAUACGUUUCUCCAUUACAACAGCCAACACUAAAAUUUGGGUCUCAUUUAACAGCUCCAUGCCUUCACUCUGAGCCAGUACAUUGGGGAGAGGUGAGACAGGUAAAAUGUGCUCUCCAGCAGGGCCCUGUGUGUCAGGGUAUGGCAGGGAUUGGUCUCAGCAGAUUUGUUUGAGCCCUAACAUCUCUAACAGGGGAUGCAGAUCAGCCCAUUCUCAUUUGAAUGCUAAGUGGCAGUCAGAAGUGGAGGUGGGUUGUGAGCAGAAGCAGAUGUGGGCGAGAUGCCCCACCUCUCAAAUUCCAGCCAACAUUUCUCCAUCUUCUGUGGCCUCUCUGUGGAGGGACUCCAGCUUCAUCCCAGCAUUAGCAGGCAGAAAUGAUGCUCAAUAGGGCAGUGACCUCAUCUCACUCCUGCAAUACUCCACAUUGUCUCAGCAGGAUACCUGUGCUGGAAUAUUCAGCUCAGCCUUGGCUUUCCAGUUCUGCUUACACCUGCUGGACCCUCCAUCCUCUGCUCUGGACAAGAUACUUCAUUGUCCCUCCUCUCUCAGUUGCCUUCACCUGCUGGACAAGGUGAGCUGAGCUUUGCAAAGGUCACUUCAGGUGUGCAGUAAGCAAAUAGAUGUGAUAAGGACACUGAUCACCUUGGGAACACGGCAAAACACAAAGGGCUCUGACUAACUCUGCAUGGAAAUACCCUCCCUAGAGGGGCAGGCAAGAGGCCAGAACAGAUCACACAGCCCUGAGGAAUUUCCAUCAGCACAGACACAGAUGGGCCUCACUCCCAAGUCCCUCCUGGAGGCCCAUAACAGCAACUCUGCAUUACUGUUGAUGAACCAAGACUGGCACUUUGUUCCUUGCAGCCAAAGGAGACCAUUGGUUGUGGGAAAAACUGGAAGGAAGGCAGCACAGGCAUGUGGAAAUGCUCACCUGGUAGGUCCUCUUCAGAGGAGAGACACUUGAGAGGGCAGGGACUGUGCUGGCAGAGGGCAGGACUGGGCUGUGUGGACAGAGUGAUGGCACAAAGGGCUGUUUGGGUGCUGCUUGGUCCUGUGUGCCAGGACCAGGGCGUGGCUCACUCAGUAAGGUUUUGGCCACUGGCCUCCCUAAACACAGGGUUAGUGGUGCUGGAAGCAGGAAGCUCCCUGGGAAUCCUUCACAAAGGCUGCACGAGACAGGACAGGUUUACCCCUCUGCAUAACGGAUUCCACUUCUAAGCACCCAGUACUCACACAUAAACUUUUAAUAUUUGCCAGUGUGGAGCUUCUUGUACGAUCCAUCCAUUUCUAAAAGAUCAUUCCUUUGUUGAAAUGCAGCUGCUGUUGAUGGGAAAACUUCAGGGUGAGACCAGGAAGGGCUCACAUACAGCCUGGCAUCCCAUAAGGGCCAGGCCUAUGAAAGACAAACAGCAUGAAGAGCUCAGCAGCCCUUGACCUUUUGGUGCCUCUGCUAGAACAAAAGAGGAGAUGCACUGAAGGAUUAACUGUUGGUCCAUUGGGCUGCCCUCAGAUUUACAUUCAUUUCCCACUGCAGGACAGGAGUGUUUUUUUCUCAUGACAGGAAUAAAAAUUUCAGUGUUACAGAGUUUGUUUUUCAGACAAACUUAAAAGUGUUAAGAAAUAUGCAAAUUAUUCUUACGGCUAACUGUUUAUUUAGGUCACAAAUGCUAAACAGCAAACUAUUUCCCCCCAGCAUCUAUUAGCAAAAAUGGUCUCGUAAUGAAAUGCAGUUUUUAAGGUAUGAAGGAAUUUUUCAGACAGACACAUAAUCUUUCCUACCUCCUGCCUUUGGAAACCAGAAGGGUCAAGUUUAGAUUCUCACCUUGUGUUCAGAUCCCAGUCCUGAACCACACAAACUUGGGUGUUGUAGGAUCCAGUGGCUAAAACAAAACUAGCCACCAAACCAAACAGAAUGGAUGGCAUUGACAGGCAAAACACUCAGUAAUGCCAUGUCACAGAGUGGCAGGACAAGUAAUUCUGUCAUGGGGAAUUUCCAUGGAUACUACAAGCAAACUUCCAUAAAGUUAUGGAAGAAAAACAUCUGUAGGUUGUAGCCUAUGAGCUCCUCUUUUUGCUAUCAAAGCCCUAAAUAGCAGAUUGGAAUUCUGCAGCUCUGAUCAUCAUCUAUUUAGCAAGAUACUGAGGUGGUUUUUAUUUAACAAAUUGCAAUGGGGCUUUCAUCUCUUCCUUUCAGAUGUCACAUCACCUCUGGUAGCUACUGUGAAUGAGAAGGAGUCAUUCAGACUCCUGUCCCCAAGGCCAGCAACCACCUUUGUACAUUGCUUUGAUUUUCUGUGAAUAAAAGAUCACUUACAAGCCUGAA